UGGUCCUAUGCAGUUCAUCCCCAACUUUGUGGCUCGGAAGCAUGGCCAAGAAAAGACCGAGUAUGC
rnacentral:tRNA from 1 species